UUCGUUUCCGGAAACCUUUAGCACCAGCUUCAGAGGUCUCUCUCCGUACUCUGCGGAUACCAAGUCAACCAGCCGCAUUACAGACCGAACCGUGGGCAUCUGAUGACGGACCCGUGACAGCAGUCGCUAGUAGCUAACGUUAGCUUAUCUGGCAGGCAUUGCCAGUGCAGUUACAACGUACAGCUAACGCUGACCGGUAAUACAUCGCUGCCUGCCUUGUAUUCGUAAGGACUUGGGGUAUAUCGACAGAGGAAUUAGGUAAGUAAGCAUGUAACGUUACAUCGGCCUGUGCGGCUAACUUUAGCCUAGCAGCACGGUGGUGGAUAAGCUCGGUUAUGGUCGUGCUAACACAGCUAACAAUGGCGGGGGCUUUCAGCAAUGUAUUCAAAUCAGCAAACAGUUCAAGCGGUUGAUUGCUCGGCGAGUGUGGAAAUGAAAUACCUUCAUAUCCGUGUUUUUCGGACUUGUGCUUUUUGUGCUUCUUGCCCAUUGUUUGUAUUUUGAUCCGGGCACAGGCUGCUCGCUCUCUCUGAUCUGAUGGCGGAAGCACUGCUGCGCGGUGAGCGACUGCGCAGAUGCACGCCGGCCUCGACCGCCCCCUGCCGGCGAGGCGGUAGAACCGCGAUGUGACCCGGCCACCUUCAUCCUCGGAGCAAAUCCCACAAGGUCACGUGUACCUUUCCACUCGCGUAAUACACAUUCAGAAAGUCGGGGACGAGUGCAGCGGGGGAACGAGCUUACUCUCGGGCCUGAGGAGAGAAAGGUCCGGAUGCAAAACCACUUCCGGGCGGCCGGCUGCAGACCCGCAGAGGCCGUGGGAUCCAUCUCCUUCAUUCUAGCCGCGGCGCUGCUCACACGUUGGAAGUCCGCGGAUUAAAAAAAGGAGAUCGGUUACACCAAACAGGGCCUAACGAAUGGCAGAUGUUGUGAAUUUCAUUAUCCUCUGUCACAACACACAGGCUAAAGGGACCCAGAGACUGUUUCCACAUGAAAGAGAAAUCCCAACAAAAACCCCCAUGUGAAACCGCUUCCCACCCUGUGGACUGCAUGGAAUGGGGAUGUUUGGUCUCUUCACAUAUAAACAAAAAAAUACAAAUACAAAUGGGCACACAAAGGCGGACUUUGAAUGGGUUAUCGGUCUCGCACAUGGUUCGACUAAUAAAAAUGUGCCCUUUGACUGCA